rnacentral:rRNA from 1 species
CACAAGCGGAGGAACAUGUGGUUUAAUUCGAUGAUACGCGAGGAACCUUACCUGGCUUAAAUGGGAGUGACAGCUGUCGAAAGAUGGUUUUCUUCGGACACUCUUCAAGGUGCUGCAUGGUUGUCGUCAGCUCGUGCCGUGAGGUGUCGGGUUAAGUCCCAUAACGAGCGCAACCCUUACCGUUAGUUACCAUCAGGUUAAGCUGGGGACUCUAGCGGGACUGCCACCGUAAGGUGAGAGGAAGGUGGGGAUGACGUCAAAUCAGCACGGCCCUUAUGUCCAGGGCUACACACGUGUUACAAUGGCCAGUACAAAGGGCAGCUACCGGGUGACCGGAUGCUAAUCUCUAAAGCUGGUCUCAGUUCGGAUCGAAGUCUGCAACCCGACUUCGUGAAGCUGGAUUCGCUAGUAAUCGCGCAUCAGCCAUGGCGCGGUGAAUACGUUCCCGGGCCUU